CCUACGGGUGGCAGCAGUGGGGAAUUUUGCACAAUGGGCGAAAGCCUGAAGCAGCCACGCCGCGUGAUUGAUGAAGCCCUUCGGGGUGUAAAGCUCUUUCAGUGGGGACGAAACUUGAGGUAACCGACUAAGGAAGCACCGCCGAACUCCGUCCCAGCAGCCGCGGUAAUACGCAGGGUGCAAGAGUUUUCCGGAAUUAUUGGGCGUAAAGGGUUCGUAGGUGGCAGAUUAAGUCUGGUGUUAAAUGCAGAAGCUCAACUUCGGUACGGCAGUGGAUACUGGUAAGCUGGAAUGCAGUAGAGGUAAGGGGAAUUGCUGGUGUAGCGGUGAAAUGCGUAGAUAUCAGGAGGAACACCGGUGGCGUAAGCGGUUUACUGGGCUGUAAUUGACGCUGAGGCACGAAAGCGGGGGGAGCAAACGGGAUUAGAUACCCGAGUAGUC
rnacentral:rRNA from 1 species